rnacentral:rRNA from 1 species
GACGGAGGAGGCAAGCGUUAUCCGGAAUUAUUGGGCGUAAAGCGUCCGCAGGCGGUUAGUUAAGUCUGUUGUCAAAGUUCACAGCUCAACUGUGGGAGGGCAAUGGAAACUGAUUAACUUGAGUGUGGUAGGGGUAGAGGGAAUUCCCGGUGUAGCGGUGAAAUGCGUAGAUAUCGGGAAGAACACCAGUGGCGAAGGCGCUCUACUGGGCCAUAACUGACGCUGAGGGACGAAAGCUAGGGGAGCUAAAGGG